rnacentral:rRNA from 1 species
CGGGCUUGAACUGCACAGGAAGGAUACAGAGAUGUUGACGCCCUUCGGGGCCUGUGUGGAGGUGCUGCAUGGUUGUCGUCAGCUCGUGCCGUGAGGUGUCGGCUUAAGUGCCAUAACGAGCGCAACCCCUGUCGUCAGUUGCCAUCAGGUGAUGCUGGGCACUCUGGCGAUACUGCCACCGUAAGGUGCGAGGAAGGUGGGGAUGACGUCAAAUCAGCACGGCCCUUACGUCCGGGGCUACACACGUGUUACAAUGGCGCGUACAGAGUGCCGGCUGCCGGCAACGGUGGUCCAAUCAUUAAAACGCGUCACAGUUCGGAUUGGGGUCUGCAACCCGACCCCAUGAAGCUGGAUUCGCUAGUAAUCGCGCAUCAGCCAUGGCGCGGUGAAUACGUUCCCGGGCC